CAUCCCCCUCCCCUCCUGGAGAGGAAACCCUAGCUCCAGCUCCGAAGGUUGCUGGAUAUAAAGACAUGGCGGGGGCUUUAAUUCAGUCAGUUAUUCUUCCAGCUGAUGUUGUCAAAGGAAGCCGCAGCCAGGGCUCCCGUACAGGUAGAAGGAUUGGCAGAAUGUUGUGCAAUGCACGGUUGGAAUCCCGCCCAGUGCGAGGGUUCACAGGUUUGCGUGGACAAAAUGCUUUGGAUUUUGCAUCUAAAUCACAAAGAGAUUUUCGUUCCCAAGUAGCAGCUUCUAUCUCUGCCCCUAGGGGAAAGGGUAGCCGGGGAGUUGCUGUAGCUAUGUUUGAGCGCUUCACAGAGAAG
rnacentral:misc_RNA from 1 species